GACAGAGGAUGCAAGCGUUAUCCGGAAUGAUUGGGCGUAAAGCGUCUGUAGGUGGCUUUUUAAGUCCGCCGUCAAAUCCCAGGGCUCAACCCUGGACAGGCGGUGGAAACUACCAAGCUGGAGUACGGUAGGGGCAGAGGGAAUUUCCGGUGGAGCGGUGAAAUGCGUAGAGAUCGGAAAGAACACCAACGGCGAAAGGCACUCUGCUGGGCCAUUACUGACACUGAGAGACGAAAGCUAGGGGAGCAAAUGGG
rnacentral:rRNA from 1 species